GAUGAACGCUGGCGGCGUGCCUAAUACAUGCAAGUCGAGCGAACGGACGAGAAGCUUGCUUCUCUGAUGUUAGCGGCGAACGGGUGAGUAACACGUGGAUAACCUACCUAUAAGACUGGGAUAACUUCGGGAAACCGGAGCUAAUACCGGAUGAUAUUUUGAACCGCAUGGUUCAAAAGUGAAAGACGGUCUUGCUGCCACUUAUAGAUGGAUCCGCGCUGCAUUAGCUAGUUGGUAAGGUAACGGCUUACCAAGGCAACGAUGCAUAGCCGACCUGAGAGGGUGAUCGGCCACACUGGAACUGAGACACGGUCCAGACUCCUACGGGAGGCAGCAGUAGGGAAUCUUCCGCAAUGGGCGAAAGCCUGACGGAGCAACGCCGCGUGAGUGAUGAAGGUCUUCGGAUCGUAAAACUCUGUUAUUAGGGAAGAACAUAUGUGUAAGUAACUGUGCACAUCUUGACGGUACCUAAUCAGAAAGCCACGGCUAACUACGUG
rnacentral:rRNA from 1 species